rnacentral:rRNA from 1 species
UACGUAGGGGGCGAGCGUUGUCCGGAUUUAUUGGGCGUAAAGAGCUCGUAGGCGGUUUGGCAAGUCGGGUGUGAAAACUCCGGGCUCAACUCGGAGACGCCACUCGAUACUGCCAUGACUCGAGUCCGGUAGGGGAGUGCGGAAUUCCUGGUGUAGCGGUGAAAUGCGCAGAUAUCAGGAGGAACACCGGUGGCGAAGGCGGCACUCUGGGCCGGUACUGACGCUGAGACGCGAAAGCGUGGGGAGCAAACAGG